rfam:Parcubacteria (Moranbacteria) bacterium GW2011_GWF1_34_10 TR51_C0001, whole genome shotgun sequence.
AAGUGAAAAAUGAAUAAUCCGCAGACAGUAGGCAAUUAAAAUAAGACCUGCCGAGGAUAAAAGACAAUUUUCUUAAAAGUUGUUUUUAUCAAAGUUCUGCAUUAAAAAAGCAGAAUUUUUUAUUAAGAAAA